GGCCCGUUCGUCUAGCGGCUAGGACGCGGGAUUCUCAUUCCCGAAACAGGGGUUCGAUUCCCCUACGGGCUA
rnacentral:tRNA from 2 species